rnacentral:rRNA from 1 species
AUUGAACGCUGGCGGCAUGCCUUACACAUGCAAGUCGAACGGUAACGGGUCCUUCGGGAUGCCGACGAGUGGCGAACGGGUGAGUAAUAUAUCGGAACGUGCCCAGUAGUGGGGGAUAACUGCUCGAAAGAGCAGCUAAUACCGCAUACGACCUGAGGGUGAAAGGGGGGGAUCGCAAGACCUCUCGCUAUUGGAGCGGCCGAUAUCAGAUUAGCUAGUUGGUGGGGUAAAGGCCUACCAAGGCAACGAUCUGUAGUUGGUCUGAGAGGACGGCCAGACACACUGGGACUGAGACACGGCCCAGACUCCUACGGGAGGCAGCAGUGGGGAAUUUUGGACAAUGGGCGCAAGCCUGAUCCAGCAAUGCCGCGUGCAGGAAGAAGGCCUUCGGGUUGUAAACUGCUUUUGUCAGGGAAGAAAUCUUCUGGGCUAAUACCCCGGGAGGAUGACGGUACCUGAAGAAUAAGCACCGGCUAACUACGUGCCAGCAGCCGCAGUAAAAC